rnacentral:rRNA from 1 species
AUGAACGCUGGCGGCGUGCCUAACCCAUGCAAGUCGAACGGAGAUUACGGACGGAAGUUUUCGGGUGGAAGACUGUAAUUCUUAGUGGCGGACGGGUGAGUAACGCGUGGGCAACCUGCCCUAUACAGGGGGAUAGCAGCUGGAAACGGCUGGUAAGACCGCAUAAGUCGGUUAAAUCGCAUGAUUUGAUCGGGAAAUGAGCAAUCAGGUAUAGGAUGGGCCCGCGUCCGAUUAGCCAGUUGGCAGGGUAAAAGCCUACCAAAGCGACGAUCGGUAGCCGGACUGAGAGGUCGGACGGCCACAUUGGGACUGAGACACGGCCCAAACUCCUACGGGAGGCAGCAGUGGGGGAUAUUGCACAAUGGAGGAAACUCUGAUGCAGCGACGCCGCGUGAGUGAAGAAGUAUUUCGGUAUGUAAAGCUCUAUCAGCAGGGAAGAUGAUGACGGUACCUGACGAAGAAGCCCCGGCUAACUACGUG